rnacentral:lncRNA from 1 species
UAAUAAUUUUUUUAUUCUUAUUAUGUUGGUUAUAUGUUUUUUUAUUUUUAAACUUGUUGCUUUUACCGGACCUUUAAAACAAAUACAUGAAGACUUGUAGAAAUAACUAUAAAAUGAGUGAUAAUUAGUAUUUGAGCCUUAAAAUGAAUAUAUGUAUUUCUCAUAAUAAGACAAUUGCAUUGGCUUGUUGACAUUGAGCAUGUAAGCUAUUUUCAUAAGACAAGAGGAGUGAACAGGUGGAGCUGUUGUUGGAGCCUUUGUAUCUGUUGGGAUUCUCUCUUGUAUAUGCUGGUGUGGUUGUGUUUUUUUUUUAUUUGAUGGAUAAUAUUUAAACAAAAAUCGUUGUUAGUUGUAUUUAUCAGAGUUUGUAACUUACUCUGCUUUUUUAUUUAGGUAAUUUCACUGAUCUUGGUUGUCAUCUUCGUCUUCUUCUUAAGCAU